rfam:Termitomyces sp. J132 unplaced genomic scaffold scaffold570, whole genome shotgun sequence.
UCGGGUAUGGUGUAAUGGCUAACAUUGCCGCCUCUCAUUUCGAAGGUGAUAUGAGAUCCUUACGCAGGAGCUCGGGGUUUGAUUCCCCGUACCCGAA